rnacentral:rRNA from 1 species
CCUACGGGAGGCUGCAGUGGGGAAUAUUGGUCAAUGGUCGGGAGACUGAACCAGCCAAGCCGCGUGAGGGAUGAAGGUACAGAGUAUCGUAAACCUCUUUUGUCAGGGAACAAAGGCGGGGACGCGUCCCCGGAUGAGUGUACCUGAAGAAACAGCAUCGGCUAACUCCGUGCCAGCAGCCGCGGUAAGACGGAGGGUGCGAGCGUUGUCCGGAUUUAUUGGGUUUAAAGGGUGCGCAGGCGGUCUGUUAAGUCAGUUGUGAAAGUUUGCGGCUCAACCGUAAAAGUGCAGUUGAAACUGGCAGUCUUGAGUACAGUAGAGGUGGGCGGAAUUCGUGGUGUAGCGGUGAAAUGCUUAGAUAUCACGAAGAACUCCGAUUGCGAAGGCAGCUCACUGGACUGCAACUGACACUGAGGCUCGAAAGUGUGGGUAUCAAACAGGAUUAGAUACCCCUGUAGUC